GCCCGCCUAGCUCAAUCGGAUAGAGCGUCAGACUCUUAUCGUUAUGACAUAGGCGGGAUCUGAAGGCUGCGAGUUCGACCCUCGCGGUGGGCU